UGAUAAUGGCGAAGAGGUCACACCCGUUCCCAUGCCGAACACGGAAGUUAAGCUCUUCAGCGCCGAUGGUAGUUGGGGGAUCUCCCCCUGUGAGAGUAGGACGUCG
rnacentral:rRNA from 1 species